rnacentral:rRNA from 1 species
AUUGAACGCUGGCGGAAUGCUUUACACAUGCAAGUCGAACGGCAGCACGGGGGCAGCCCUGGUGGCGAGUGGCGAACGGGUGAGCAAUACAUCGGAACGUGCCCGGUCGUGGGGGAUAACGUAGCGAAAGUUACGCUAAUACCGCAUACGAUCUGAGGAUGAAAGCGGGGGACCUUCGGGCCUCGCGCGAUCGGAGCGGCCGAUGUCAAAUUAGGUAGUUGGUGGGGUAAAGGCCUACCAAGCCGACGAUCUGUAGCUGGUCUGAGAGGACGACCAGCCACACUGGGACUGAGACACGGCCCAGACUCCUACGGGAGGCAGCAGUGGGGAAUUUUGGACAAUGGGCGCAAGCCUGAUCCAGCCAUUCCGCGUGCAGGACGAAGGCCUUCGGGUUGUAAACUGCUUUUGUACGGAACGAAAAGGCUCUGGCUAAUACCUGGGGCUCAUGACGGUACCGUAAGAAUAAGCACCGGCUAACUACGUG